ACACUAACUGUCUCCUACCAUUAGACAAUAGUCUUCAGAAAGGAUGUGCCGCAGAACAGCUGAUGGACAUGAAUUAUUUUAGACGAGGACAGCCUGCUCUCUUCAGCACGGACCUGAAACCCAAUUGCCCCCGCAGACUUGAGAUGUUUGCUGCAGCUACAGAAAGGAAGUUAGAAUCUGCUGUCCUCCACAACUUCCCGAAGAGCAAGGAAAACAUUGGAAAACUGUCAGCCCGCUCUCAGAAGGAUAACAUGAUCCCAGGAUGGGAACAGUGCCUGAGAGGUCAGUGGAAGACUUGCAGUGAACUAUGGGAAAAGAAUAGAAAACCCAAGUGUGAAAAGAACAGGAGGAAAACAAAAGGAGGUGGGAUGGUUUCUCUCCUUCCUUGCCUCCUGGAGAAAUGUGCAGAGAGUAAGAUCACAUGUCAAAGCAGCCUCAAGAAGCCUUUGGUCAGAAUGACUCGGCACUGUCACAGAACCUGCAGUCAGAAAGAGCUGCAUCUCCUGCUGAGAGCACAGAACCUGGGAAAUCACCAUGAUGACCUAUCCAGAGCCUUACUGCAUUAGCCAGCAAAGGGAUGUUCCAUCCUGCCGUGCUGCACCAUGGGAACUCUGCCUACUGUGGAUAAAGCAGAUGCUCUUAGCUACUGCAAAAAGCAUGAUCUCGUUUGACUCAAUUGAUGUCUUUCUUUAAAAAGAAGAUUUUACUUUUAUUAUUGUGUAUGAAAGUACAUGCAAGUGCAGAACUCAGAGGUGAGAAGAGAACCUUAGAUUCCCUCGGAGCUGAAGCUGGUGGCAGUUGUGAGCACCUGAUAUGGGUGCUGGGGACCUGCAAAAGCAGUCUGCACUCUUAGCUGCCAAGCCAUUUCUCCUCUCCAACUCCCAACUUAACUUUUGAAACUGGAGGAGAGUCUGCAAAAUAUAGACUGGGACUCAUUUUUCCAGGCCCACUGGUGAUAGAGGGUACACAUGCAGACACAAAAUGAGCCACAAGUAUACCACAAUCUUAUUGAACUCCUCACAACAAGAGGAGCUUUGGUUACCCAGCUUUUGGGCCACCUGGAAGCUGAGCGCUUACUUACAGCUUUCAGGAGGGUCUCACAUAGAAUGGGCAUUGAAGUCCACCCCUUGGUCCAUAAGGAUAAUAGUAUAUGAGGAGCAGGGGGCCCCUGUCGCUUCGAUGCUGCUUUAAGUCAAGUGUCCCACUUCUUAGGCAGCUACACAAGCCGCCUGCUACUGAGCGAGCUGUCAUGGAGGCAGCUAGACAGCUGCAAUAAGACACACAGUUUGGGAAACUGUAGCUUUCAACAAGUACAGCUCCAUCAGACACCCCAACUGGGCCCAAGGUGCUUCUAUUUGCUUAAGGAUCACAGUAAAUUGGAUCCUCACCAUCUGGCAGAGUUGAUAUUUAAAAGUUCAAGUGAGUCUGAGAUUCAUCUCUAUCUCCAGGCACAACAAAUAACAUUACCCUGAUGUAGCAGAAAGGGAAGAGCUGGUGGGCUACAUGUGUUUCAGUUCUGAAUGGUAUUUAAAAUAGCUCUGCUUUCUUUCAUCAGCUACUGUUAUGGACACUUUCUUGUCAGUGGUUACUACAAAGAAGUUAAGGAACUUACCAAAGUGUUUUGUUUAAGAGUCCCAUGUGGCUAUUUCAGCUUGACAUGUAAUAGUUAAACAUAGAGUGAGACUGAGCCUCUCACUAACGGUUUGGGAUAUAAAAUUCCUUGGAAUUUCACAAAAGCGGUAUUAAAUGACUUCCCUGAAA
rnacentral:lncRNA from 1 species